AAGCAACUCCAACAAGUAAAACAAGAACUGUGAGUAAAGUGGGAAAUUUAGCUGUGUCUAGAGGAAGAGGAACUGUUGGAAAAGUUAAAGCCAUAUCAAGAGUGGAAGGACAAAUUAUCAAAACUGAGGCAAUUUGUAAAGCGUAAGCAAUACCAACCAGAUU